rnacentral:rRNA from 1 species
UACGAAGGGGGCUAGCGUUGUUCGGAAUCACUGGGCAUAAAGGGUGCGUAGGCGGCGCGGUAAGUCGGGUGUGAAAUCUCGGGGCUUAACUCCGAAACUGCAUUCGAUACUGCCGUGCUUGAGGACUGGAGAGGAGACUGGAAUUUACGGUGUAGCGGUGAAAUGCGUAGAUAUCGUAAGGAAGACCAGUGGCGAAGGCGGGUCUCUGGACAGUUCCUGACGCUGAGGCACGAAGGCCAGGGGGAGCAAAACGGGG